ensembl:lncRNA novel transcript
GGGGAGCUUGGUUCUUGAGAUGCAAGUCUGUCGACGCUCCCAGCAGAAUAAAGCCUCUUCCUUCUUUAACCUGGUGUCUGAAGGGUUUUGUCUGUGGCUUGUCCUGCUACAUUUCUUGGUUUCCUGACCGGGAAGUGAGGUGAUUAAGGGACAGUGGAGGCAGCCCCUUAGGCGGCUUAGCCUUGCCCUGCGGAGCAUCCCUGUGGGGUACUCCGGCCAGCUUGAGCAAUGUGGAUCCUGAGAGUGCUCCUGGGUAGGCAUUUGCCCCAGUGGAAUGCCUCAUCAGAGUGGUGCAUGGCAGGCCCCCACGGAGGAUCAACACAGGGGCUGAACACUGGGAAGGAACUGGCACGUGGAGUCCGGACAUCUGGAAUAUGGGAGAGCGCAGCCUGGGAUCACAAAGAAAGCAAGUCAUCUGCAACCUGCUGGAGCCUAAGACCAGAAGGCAGGCCCGACUUCCGAGACCAUCCUUGGAUGUCACUAGACUGGGAGCUGUACGUGGACGGGAGCAACUUUGUCAACUCACAAGGAGAGAGGUGUGUGGGAUAUGCAGUGGUAACCCUGGAUGCUGUCAUUGAAGCCAAAUCGUUGCCCCAGGGCACUUCAGCCCAGAAGGCCGAACUCAUUGCUUUAAUUCGGGCCUCAGAGCUAAGUGAAGGUGGAGGCCUAUCCAACAUGGACCAAGAAAGCUCGUGAAGUAACCCGUGUGCUUCUCCGAGAUCUCAUCCCUAGGUUUGGACUGCCCUUACAAAUCGGCUCAGACAACCGGCUGGCGUUUGUGGCUGACUUGGUACAGAAGAGAGCAAAGGUAUUGGGAUCACAUGGAAACUACAUACUACCUACUGACCACAAAGUUCUGGAAACGUGGAGUGGAUGAAUCAGACUAUCAAAAAUAGUUUAGGUGAUCGGGUGUGGAUCAAGGAUUGGAACGUAGCCCCCUUGCGGCCAUGGUGGAAAAGACCCCAGACCAUCAUCUUGACCACUCCUACAGUUGUAAAGGUAGAGGGAAUCCCAGCCUGGAUCCACCACAGCCAUGUAAAACCUGCAGCACCUGAGACCUGGGAAGCAAGACCAAGCCCAGACAACCCUUGCAAAGUGACUCUGAAGAAGACGACAAACCCUUCUCCAGUCACACCCGGAAGCUGACUGGUCCACGCAUGGCCAAAGCAUAAGGAAACUCACCAUGAGACUCAUUUUCCUUAAAUUUUGAACUUGUACAGUAAGGACUUCAACUGACCUUCCUCAGACUGAGGACUGUACCCAGUGUAUACAUCAAGUCACUGAGGUAGGACAAAAGGUUGUUGCAGUCCUAUUAUUUUAUAGUUGUUAUGAGUGUACCGGGACUCUAAAAGGAACUUGUUUGUAUAAUGCUACUCUAUACAAGGUAUGUAGCCCAGGAAGUUACCAGCCUGAUGUGUGUUAUAACCCAUCUGAGCCCCCUAUGACUACCGUUUUUGAAAUAAGAUUGAGGACUGGCAGCUGGGGAAAAGCUGAUAUGAGUAAAUAACUGGAACAGAAGAGAAAGGAGCCCCAAAAAAAUUAUCUUAAAA